GAUGAACGCUGGCGGCGUGCCUAAUACAUGCAAGUCGAGCGGUAAGGCCCCUUCGGGGGUACACGAGCGGCGGACGGCUGAGUAACACGUAGGAACGUACCCCAAAGUGAGGGAUAAGCACCAGAAAUGGUGUCUAAUACCGCAUGUGCUCUAAGGAGUAAAGCUUCGGCGCUUUGGGAACGGCCUGCGCAUGAUUAGCUUGUUGGUGAGGUAAUGGCUCACCAAGGCGACGAUCAUUAGCUGGUCUGAGAGGAUGACCAGCCAGACUGGGACUGGGAACGGCCCAGACUCCUACGGGAGGCAGCAGUAGGGAAUUUUGGACAAUGGGCGCAAGCCUGAUCCAGCCAUUCCGCGUGCAGGAUGAAGGCCCUCGGGUUGUAAGCUGCUUUUGUACGGAACGAAAAGGCUCUGGUUAAUACCUGGGGCUCAUGACGGUACCGUAAGAAUAAGCACCGGC
rnacentral:rRNA from 1 species